rnacentral:rRNA from 1 species
AUAGGAGACAAGAAGGCAUCUUCUUGUUUUUAAAAGACCUAGCAAUAGGUAUGCUUAGGGAGGAGCUUGCGUCACAUUAGUUAGUUGGUGGGGUAAAGGCCUACCAAGACUAUGAUGUGUAGCCGGGCUGAGAGGUUGAACGGCCACAUUGGGACUGAGACACGGCCCAAACUCCUACGGGAGGCAGCAGUAGGGAAUUUUCGGCAAUGGAGGAAACUCUGACCGAGCAACGCCGCGUGAACGAUGAAGUAUUUCGGUACGUAAAGUUCUUUUAUUAGGGAAGAAUAAAUGAUGGAAAAAUCAUUCUGACGGUACCUAAUGAAUAAGCCCCGGCUAACUAUGUGCCAGCAGCCGCGGUAAUACAUAGGGGGCAAGCGUUAUCCGGAAUUAUUGGGCGUAAAGGGUGCGUAGGCGGUUAAAUAAGUUUAUGGUCUAAGUGCAAUGCUCAACAUUGUGAUGCUAUAAAAACUGUUUAGCUAGAGUAAGAUAGAGGCAAGUGGAAUUCCAUGUGUAGUGGUAAAAUGCGUAAAUAUAUGGAGGAACACCAGUAGCGAAGGCGGCUUGCUGGGUCUUUACUGACGCUGAGGCACGAAAGCGUGGGGAGCAAACAGGAUUAGAUACCCUGGUAGUCCACGCCGUAAACGAUGAGUACUAAACGUUGGGUAAAACCAGUGUUGAAGUUAACACAUUAAGUACUCCGCCUGAGUAGUACGUACGCAAGUAUGAAACUUAAAGGAAUUGACGGGACUCCGCACAAGCGGUGGAUCAUGUUGUUUAAUUCGAAGGUACCCGAAAAACCUCACCAGGUCUUGACAUGCUUCUGCAAAGCUGUAGAAACACAGUGGAGGUUAUCAGUUGCACAGGUGGUGCAUGGUUGUCGUCAGCUCGUGUCGUGAGAUGUUGGGUUAAGUCCCGCAACGAGCGCAACCCUUAUUGUUAGUUACCAGCACGUAAUGGUGGGGACUUUAGCAAGACUGCCAGUGAUAAAUUGGAGGAAGGUGGGGACGACGUCAAAUCAUCAUGCCCCUUAUGACCUGGGCUACAAACGUGAUACAAUGGCUGUUACAAAGGGUAGCUGAAGCGCAAGUUUUUGGCGAAUCUCAAAAAAACAGUCUCAGUUCGGAUUGAAGUCUGCAACUCGACUUCAUGAAGUUGGAAUCGCUAGUAAUCGCGAAUCAGCA